UAUACACCGAGAAAGUGCUGGGCUACUGAGCUACAUCUGCAGCCCAACUCUGUCUUUGGGUAUAAGACAUUCAUCUCAAACUAACACAUCUGCAAGUACUCAGAAGGAAUGCACAAGAAAAGAGGCUGCAUAAUGGACUCCCUACACUCACAAUUAAAUAUGUAAGAAAACACAGUUUUACAGGGCCCCUACUGAACCAAGAGGUCACAGAUUGGCUAGACCAGAAGACCAGUAAGCACCAAGAUCCUUUAUCUCUGUCUUCCACACCUCUACCCAGAAUUAGGUUUAUAAAAAUACACCAUUACAUCUGA